GAUGAACGCUGGCGGCGUGCCUAAUACAUGCAAGUCGAGCGAACUGAUUAGAAGCUUGCUUCUAUGACGUUAGCGGCGGACGGGUGAGUAACACGUGGGCAACCUGCCUGUAAGACUGGGAUAACUUCGGGAAACCGAAGCUAAUACCGGAUAGGAUCUUCUCCCUCAUGGGAGCUGAUUGAAAGAUGGUUUCGGCUAUCACUUACAGAUGGGCCCGCGGUGCAUUAGCUAGUUGGUGAGGUAACGGCUCACCAAGGCAACGAUGCAUAGCCGACCUGAGAGGGUGAUCGGCCACACUGGGACUGAGACACGGCCCAGACUCCUACGGGAGGCAGCAGUAGGGAAUCUUCCGCAAUGGACGAAAGUCUGACGGAGCAACGCCGCGUGAGUGAUGAAGGCUUUCGGGUCGUAAAACUCUGUUGUUAGGGAAGAACAAGUACGAGAGUAACUGCUCGUACCUUGACGGUACCUAACCAGAAAGCCACGGCUAACUACGUGCCAGCCGCCGCAGUAAAAC
rnacentral:rRNA from 1 species